CACAGAUCGAUUAAACAAACACUUAUCCAUCUCUAUCUAUAAAUACACGUACACACACAUCUCCCCUCUCACUCACUACCAAUAAUACACACAGUUGCAAACAAACAUGAAGAGCACAGGAAAGAGCAGCUCAAAUCCCAAGGCAACCGGAAAAUCCGGUCACGAAGCCCGAAAAGAUCGCCAGUCCGGCACCGGAGUCACCGGAUCACCGAAGAAAGGCGGUCACGGCGGCAAGUUCACCUGGUCCGGCGAUAACGCAAACCUCGGGAACGAUGAGUUCAUCGUCGCCGUUGAUCGUAAUGACCCUAACUUUGAAGAUCCCGAUGUUGCUGUAGCGGAGAAUUAAUAGAUUAUUAUUCGAUAGAUGUAUGUAUGUAUAUGUUUGUUUUUCUGGUAUUAAGUUGUAUCGAUAUAUGGAUUUAUCUCUGUAUGAUGAAGUAUCGAUCAUAAUAAAAUUGUCGCGAUUUAAUUUUUCUCGUAACAUCGAUCCGGUCCGGAGUCCGAAAAUAUGUUUAUAAUAAUAUAAUGAAAGAUUGUGAUAAUAUGCAUAUCAGAAUACAAUGCAACAACGAAGUGUUGUGUGUGAAAUUAGAAUGAUACAAGAGCAUAUGUAUGUUUUCAACUGCAGGACACUAAACAAGAGGCGAAACUCGAUCAAAUCAAAAUUUAAAACUUGCUGAUUAUGUAACAAAGUGUUAUUAGAGACCGGAAGCACGGUGGAUGCUGCUUCGUUGAGUGGAUUGAGUUUACAUUUACAGGGAUUAAUUGUUUUGUUGUUGAAGGCGGCUCUACGGAUCAGAAUAUCUGGACAUAUAUAAUCCUGAAUUGAAGCAUUGUUGCAAUUUGUUGAUUUUGUAAUUUGGAUCUGUGGAAAAAGGAUUCUGUUGAACUUCGUUUCUUCGUGUAUUUUCUUUCUGUUUCAUCGUUGGAAGGUCUCGGUUAGGUGAGAAGUGCUAGAGACACAAUGCAUUUGUUAGGGGAAUUUCGGAAAAUAAAGUUGUUACAAGUGUGUUGAGUUCUUAAUUUGGAUAAGUACUGGAAAAAAGAGUUUGUCGAAAUUCUUUGUAUUAUUUUUGUUCGUUGCAAAUGCUGAUGGUAAGAUAUAAUGUAGGAAUUUUCUGAGAAAAAAAAUAGAAUAAGGUAUUAAGAUAUUUCGAAAUGGUCGGCCGUUACUUGACUUCAUUAUAGGAAAUUCACUUAAAUUUAAGCAAAUCAAGGCAUUUUGCAUAUGGUGCUUAGGACGGAAGCAACUGUAUAAGUCCUGAUCCAAAGUUGUUCGUCUUAGAUUGAAUCAUUGUUAAGUGCAGCAUAAUAGUAACAGUUUUGGCUUGCUGAACUGAGUGGGUGCAAGGAGCAUUGGUAAUAUAUCAUAGUGCUUGUUUGGCAACUUUUGGUAGUAGUAACUCCCAAAGCUUCGAUAUAGAGGACCUUUAUUGCUAUAUGGUUAGGUGGUGGUUCACCUUGAAAUUGUAUCUGGUAUGGCAAAGAAAUUGCUAUGGGAUUAAGUAUACAAUAUUAGUUAACCGGGCUCACUUAUCACUGAUCAGGAUUCCCCUUGGUAUUAUUCUGUCUAUCAUUUAUUUUAUAUAUUGCUGUAUAUGAAUAACAUUCAUUUGUUAAUUCUAAGACUUCAUAAUAUAUUGUAUUAUGUAUAGGAUACUUCAAGUGUACUUCCUCUCCUUUAUAUUAUCUUUACUAGCUUAUGACCCGUGCCAAGCACGGGUUUAAAUUAUUUUCUUAAAUUUAUUAUAUAUUAUAAUUAUAGGGUCGCGCUCAUGAGAAAACCUAUCCUUAAAAUAGAACCUUAGUGAUAGAAUCACUAAGUUUCUGCUGCAGAAUCCUAAAUUUUAAAUAGAUUUUCAGGAUCUAAAUCUAAAUACAUGUUUUUUGUAUCGUUGUAUGUGUUCAAAAGCAAUUUAAAAAUACAAUACAUAAAUACGACACUUUUUGCAUGUGCAGUCCGUAGAACCCUAAUUAAUACUAGAAAUAACGCUAAGGUUUCUUAGGCUAAGAUUUCUAAGAGGACCAUGACCCUAUAAUUAUAAUUAUAAUCUCUUUUAUUUGAUUAUACACUAUCUUUGUUUAGAUACAAUACUUUCUAUGUAUUGACUUUUGAUCCUUUUUUACUUUUUUUUCUACAAAAAUUAGGGUUUUAUAUCAAACCAGCUACCUAUGGAACGAAAUAUCUCAAGUAGACCACUUAUUCUAACGAGGUCUCAUUCAAAACCUUAAAAUUAAAUUUUAUAUCAUGUCGCUAACUCCAAUUUAAAAAAAAGAUGAAAAAUGUUAAAAUAUUCACUCUGUUUUAACGAGGAUUAUCUGUAGAAACAUAGUGAGAGCGAGGAUACUGAGAAUAAUGGAUCUCAUCACUCUAUUUUUACAUUUUUCGUCUAUUUUUUUCAUAAAUUAAAUUGUUUGAGUUUCAAAAAUUAAAACAAAUAGUUAUGUUGGUGAUAUAAUUUUGUUGAUGGGAUAGUCGUUACAUUACAGAAUCCUGAAAAAUAUGGAAGUCUUUUCAGAGUAGUAUAAUAAUAGUAAUUAUUACAAAUAAACAAAAAUUACAUGAUAAUAACCAAAUUUUGGUACUUUGGUAUUUACUAUUUCUGAUGUUCCACUGAAAGGGGGUUUUGCUAAUUAAUGAAGAGUAUAGAUUACACAAAAUUAACCUUCUAAUUUUUGGAAACCUGAAUAAUUGGAACAAAUGCUGUUUAGUAAGUGGAUUUGCUCGACACAAUUGUACACUUACAUCAUCUUUUGUCGUUUCAUUUAAACUGUAUCAGUUAAAAUGUUGACAAUGUCCACCAAGGUGCACACAACACUCUGAGAGUAGAACUUGAGAUCACAGGAUACACUUUUUCAUCCUACUUGAUCACAGUUCACAAAAGAAAAAUAUAAUUGAACCAUCCACCUAUAAAUUUAGUUUUGCUGUUUGUUUUCCGAAUAUUUUUAUGCAUUUAUGUUAGCACACCAUUGAGGACUAGUGACACAUGUAUUAUAGCUUUGGAGACUCUCCAAAUUUCAUGUUGUACAGCACUCCAUGUAUUAUUGGCCAAAUGUAUACUUGCGCUUGGCCCUCUAUCUGGUGUCACUGAUCCAGGGUAGGAUACUGAUCCAUGAGCAAUAUGCUCUGAUGGUGCAUAAAUCUGAGAUACGGAGCAUGAGCAGUAUGCUCUGAUGGUGCAUAUAUAUGGUUUUAAUUUUAGACUGGAGGUAUUCAAAGUUAGAAUAGCUGUUUGAAAGCUGAAAUUCAGUGAAAUAUUCAUUAGGUUUUUGUGUAGGGAAAGACGCAUACCAAGUGCUUAUACCAUGGUCGUCCAAGCAGUCCAUCUCUGUCUAUAAAUACUCGUUCUGCCAUCAUCAGUCUGUAAUUAACUGUCUCACCUGCCAAGCUUUACUUCUUCACAUUGAUGCCCAUCCUUCGGAUCCUUGUAUUGCCUGAGAGUCUAGCCUCUUUUAUAUCUAGACAUUGAUAAUUGAGCUUUAGUUUCUUACUUCUUAGUGAUGACUGAUGAGCUAUACCAUUCUUCAUAAUUAAUAUAUGUGGCUGCUAUUUUCAAAUCUUCAAUAGACUUGAACAAGGGAGUGAGUUUGUCCUUUUCCAAAACCUCACUCAUAAUGUUGUCAUCAUAUUGAGUGGUAGACUAGGUAACCUGCAAUUGGCAGCCAAUCCUAUAGGUCCCAAAUAGCAUAACUCCUUUACAAUUAAUACCAAGCAGUCGAAGUGGUAAUAUAUCUUUUUUAUAAAUGAUUAUACAACCAUGUUAUCUGCAGUAUGUUCUUUUUCCUGGUGGCAAAAGGCUCUGCAAUUUUAGCACACAUUAUUCAUGUCGAGCUCAAGAUUAGUUCUAUAUUGUAGGCAUGGGUCAGUUGUGUUAUAUCUCUUUCUUAAGAUUGUAGCUUAGCGGCAUAAUCAUGUUGUACAAGCAGCACUAUCAGAGUUCCUAGGCAAUCAUAUCUAAUGGUCUAAAUGAAUGCAAAACAAGAAGUUAUAAAGUUAAUAAUGUGCUAUUUUGUUAUAUUAGCAUAUGUUAUUCCUUCAAAAAAAAAAAGUAUAUGUUAUAAAAUCUCUAUGUUAUUUUGUAAUUAAAUAUAAACAUCACCUGAAUAAGAGAUGAAUCUGAGGUUAAGUACCAUUUUUUUUUUGCUUUUUACUAAGAUUUUACUGUGUUCCACGUUCUAGACCUUUCUUUAAAUCAUUUUCACUUUCUAUUAUGGCAUUUUCCAGCAGACCUUGCAUGGACUAAAUAAACCGAGUUAUAUAUAUCAUAUAUGCAUCUCCUGGCCAAAUUUCUAAUAUAGGUCUCCCUGGUUCUUGCAUAUGUUGUUGUGUGACCUUUGUAAGCUAAAUUACAUUCUAUAAUAAAUUCCUGUUCUAAUUCUUAGUUUCUUUUAUCUGUUUCAUUUUGCAGUAAAACACUGUUAUAGUAUAAUUUAUCUUCUGCUAUAUUAAGGCUGGAAAACGUUAGAUGCUUUGUUUCUUGUUCCAAGUAUUUUCCUGUCACAGUUCCUGAUGUCAAGUCUCCUAGAUAUGAGGUAGAUCUGAUUUUCCACAUUUUUCUAUAUAACAUAAUCCUAAUCUUUGCUAAGCUAUCAAGUGAAAACCAAUGUUUUAUAAACAUAUUUAAGUCACAUAUGUGUAGUUAUAAACUUAUAAUCAUGAAUACCUGAUACAUAUAAGUGCAUAAAAGAUGAUAUUAUAUUACCUUUACCAAAUGAUGUAUCAGCUGCUGGAACACCUACAUUCUGUAAAAAUGCUGCAUAGUAUGAACCUGCACCUCCAACCUUCCUAUCUUUAAAUGUACAAUAAUUUAUUCCAACUGAUAAAUUGAGCCUAAAAUAUCAAUCAUCUUAUAGCACGUCUGGAUCUGGUGAAACAGCUCAUUUUCUAUACUUAUUACGAAUAUGGGGUUCACCCUUCCCAUCUGAAAUGUUGUUAUAUGCUUACCUUAAGAUUGACGGCAGCUCUGGUCCAUGAGUCAAAGAUUGUAUGUGAUGGGUUAUCUGGAUCUUGAACCUUAAAGAGUAAUUUGACAUCUUAGGCAUGAUUUGCGUGUGAUAUUUCUUUAAAAAUCUGACAUCCAUCUCCUUUAGAUGCACCCUGGCAAAUUCAUAUUCUAAAAUCAAACCUGGCACAGGCAUUAGUUUAGUUUAUUCUGUUGUUUGUCAUAGUUUAUAUUACAAUCACUUGACAUGUUAGGGAUCAUUUUGUUAAUGGCAAUGGGAGUGCGGUAGACAGGAAUAGGAAAAUUUGGAAUCCCAUGGGGUACAUCAAUAUCUCCUCCCUUGUCUACCUCAUGGUCAGAUUUUCUUCACGUCUUUUUACUUGGCCAGCCUUGCGGGGUUGGAUCUUGGAUCACCUAAAUUUUUAUACAGGGAACCCGCCUGGACUCCACUUGGUGGUAUCCACUUAUCACCAGGAAACCCUUUUGCAUCACCUCCACCACCAUAGUCUUUUCUAUCUGUGACAACACGGCCCCCAUAGCACCUGGUUCGUAUGCAUCUGUCACAAUGUACCCUCUAUAUAAUCGUCCUAUCCUAGUUAAUAUUACAGUACCUAGACUAUUCGAACCUUGGGCGAGUUUUCUUCUAGUGUAGUGAAAUUCUUGUGAAGUCCUUAUUAAAGUUAUCCUCGGCUCCUUUGUAAUCCUGGUUCUGAUAUAUAUUUUAAUCCUCUAGUACAUGUUCCACCAGUUUUUAUGUCGAUGGUCGAAUGAACAGUGUCUCUAUAGAAGUUAUUCAUCUUACUUAAUACCUUGUCAAGUUUGGAAACAAUAACUGGUUUGGCUUGCUGGUGCAAGUUGGUGUGAGAAUAAGCUUAUGUGAAGAAAUCGCGGUUUAUUGGUUCUUGGUUGGCAUUUACAUAUGUAGAUUGAACUUUAGUGCUCUGUAGUUAGGUGGUGGCUCACCGCUCACCUUAAGAGUUUAAACUUUGCCUAGUUGUAUUGGCUCAAGGUAGUAAUUCAUUUGUUUGAAACUAUAUGGAAGUUAACAAUAACAUAAAAUAGCACAUAGAGCGAUACCUGCUGACUGCUAGGUCUAUGUAUGUAUUAUCAUGUCCAGUUCUAUAGUUUUUGAAAACCUUGAAAGAAUAUGUCCCUGCAAAUGUUUAAUAUUCCAUGUUUUUUUCAUUAAUGUAAGUUGUUUUCCUAUAGUAAUGGUAGUGGCCUGUCAAAUAGUUGUCCACAAUCUUCUAUUGCCAUUAUUUCAAAUUUGGAUUUGUUAUUAUUUUGACACUGUUCACCCAAUUGCACACAACUCUCAGAAUUUGGCUUUGAUAAUAUAGGACAUUAAUUUUUCAGCUUAUGUGCCCGCAAAGAAAGUAUUUAUAAAAGCUUUCACCUUGAAAUAAUGAGUCCCGGAUUGUUUAUUUUGCAUAUAUUUUAUGCACUCAUGUAAGCACACCAUUUAGGACUAAUGAUACAUGUAUAACAGCUCUAGAGACUCUCCAGACUUCAUGUUGGACAGAACUCCAAGAUUCUAUUGUGUUCUCUUGCUUGGCUUUUUCUAUGGCAUCAGUGAUGCCAGGGAAGGAUACUGAUCCAUAAUCAUCAUGCUCUGAAGGCGCAUAAAUCUGAGACAAAAGACAUUUGCUUUUUAGUAUUUAGAUGAAUAUAUGAUUUAAAACUGAGACUAUUUGAAGAUUGAGUUGUGAGUAUUGAGUAUCUGUUAUGAACCCAAAUUCAACAACAAACAUUUGUUAGGUUUUGUUACAGGAAAGAGACACAUACCAAGUGUUUAUACCAUUGUCGUCCAAGCAGUCCGUCUCUGUCCAUAAAUGCUCGUUCUGCCAUCAUCAGUCUGUCAUUUAACUCUCUGACUUGCCUUGGUUUAGUUCCCCACAUUGAUGCCCAUCCUUUGGAUCUUUCAAGUGCCUGAAAAUCAAGCCUUGUUUAUUUUCAUAAACGGCAAAAUAUGCUUGAUAUGGAAGACACAAAAACCUGCUACAUGUCUGCGAAACAUCGGGUCACCAAAAUCUCUCAUCCAAAUGAAGUCAUCAUACAUUGAGUGGUAGACUGGGUAACCUGCACUGCAACUGAUAUAGUAAGUCAUAAAUUUAGCAACAAUAAUGAUUCCUUUACUUGCAACAGUAAGUGGUUAUAGAAAUGCCAACUGAAUCUUAUUUUAUGCAGAAUGGUGUUUUCCUUGAUAAAGUUCUGCAAUAUUAGCACACAAGUUUUGCACAACUAACUCUAGAAGGGGGAUGCUAGAGGCAGGUCAGUUGUCUGUGGCAAGACAUUUUAGAGUUCCGACGUUAUGUUGCUAACCAUUUCAUCAGUUCAUUUUAGCUUCAAACUCCCAUUUAUUUACAACUUUAACAAUGCUUGUGAAUCGUGACUGGGGUUGGGUAAAUUAAUUCCUAUCUUAAAUAUCUACCUAUAAUUUUUAUUUAGGCCUCAUUUUGCGGUAGAAGCCAGGAAGUUCCAAUUUUUUUUUGUUAGAGCUAUAAACUUGAUCCUUUGUUCCUUGUUGCUAAUUCUUACUGUCAUAGAUUCUGAUGUUAAGUCUAUUAGAUAUGAGGUGGAUCUACCUUCACAUUUCUAUUGCAUCCUAAUAUAUGACCAUUAACUAUCAAGUAAAAAUCAUAAAAAUCUUCAAGUCACAUAUAUGAUGUAUGCAGUUAUUAACAUUACAGAUUAGGGUAUGAUCUGUAACCUUAGCAGAUAAAAGUUCAUAGAAUGAAGUGUUGCUACCUUCACCAAAAGACAUAUCAGCUGCUGGAAUACCUACAUGCUGUAAAAACGGUGCAUAGUCUGAACCUGCACCUCCUAACCUUCCGAUCUUUGUAAAAACAUUAGUUUAGUUGAACUUAGAUUCGAGUUCAAGAUAUUAAUUAAGACGAGGCCUUAUUCUGGAUCUAGAGGAACAAACUAUUAUCUUCUGAUCACAUAUUUGGGCUUCUUCCUUUCCUUUAAAAAUGUCAAAUACUUACCUUUGGAUGAUCACUAGUGCCAACCCACGAGUCAAAGAUAGAUUGUGAUGAGUUUUCUGGAUCUCGAACCUCAAAAAGACAUUUUGAAAUUUUAGUUAUAGUUUGUGAGUAAAAAAUUGGAAACACUGACAAUUUUUAUGUUUCUAAAAUCAACUCUAGCACAGGCAUAUAGUUUAUUCAGCCGCCAAGCACUGCUUUGAUUGCAAUUACUUAAAAGUGGUGCUGUAGGCAUAUAGCAUUUAUAAGACUUUUCAGUAUAAUAUCAAUAAUAUUUGUAAUUUUUUGUAUCGGUAAGCUUUAAAAUGUUGCCAUUGCUUGCAACUGCAAUUUUUAUUGGCAAAUUUUUUGUUCUGGUUACAAACUUAUUUAAUACCUGUUUAGUAGCUUGCAUCAAUAAUUGAUCCAGCUGUGGAGUUGCUGCAGCUUGAAAUCCUGCUCCACUAACUGCAACAUCAACAUUCAGUGUGUGUUCCUUGAAAUUGAGAGGUAGAGAAAGAGACCAGGCCAUACUCCUCUGCAUCCCAAUUACAAAAGAUGAUUGUCCGUCUUGGUUUCCACCCCUUUUUCUGCAACUUGCUUAGCCUAUCGGCAACCUAAGUAGCACAUAUAAUCAAGUGAAUGUAAGGGUUAGUACUUUCACUUGGAGACCUUGGUUUGACUUGUACUAUUUUAAAGAGGAUGCAUGAAUGCAAGGCGACCUCAAGCAAAGCUGCUGUGCCACUGUUGGGAUCAGCAGCUCCAAAAGUCCAUGCAUCUCUAUGAUUACCCAGUAUUACAAACCUGCAAAUGGUUUCCACCUAUAGUAGUUAAAUUUCUACAAAACAAGUUUCAGUGUUUGAUUGAAGUCUGUACAACUCAAACAAAUAAAAUUAAUCUACUGUCAGGGAAACCAAUACCGAUCAGGUUCUUCCUCCCCUUCAAUUAUACCUAUAACAUUUUCUAUUGUAUUAAUGCCUUGUUUUCCCUGCAAAAUAAAAGAACAAUUACAGUGCAACAGUUCACUCUCGGCUAUUAUAUCCCCUGUCAAUUUCAUAGCCACAAUACAGUUAGAAUUAUGGUCCGUCAGUCACUUACAGUGUAACUGAGAUUUAAGAUGCCCGGCCCUGGUCCAAUGUUGUAAACUGGACCAUCUUUGCAUCCCUGCCAGUCAUUGUCUGCCAUUUCUCCACCAAUGGACUUUAUAAUUGCCUCACCGUCUGCUGCUGAUACAGGCAGUGAAGGUAUCAAUGGAAUGUCUCCUCCCUUGUCCACCUCAUCAUCAGAGAUUCUCUCACACCCUCCCGUGCUCGGCCACCCUGGUGUGGUUGGAUCUCCACAUCCCUUAUACAGUGUUCCUACCUGGACUCCACUUGGUGGCAUCCACUUAUCAUGAGGAAACCCUUUUCCAUCACCUCCACCCCCAUAGUCCUUUUUAUCCGUGAAUAACACAGCACCUAUAGCACCAGCUUGGUAUGCAUUUGCCACAAUGUCCCCUCUAUAUAUUUGUCCCAUCCUAGCCAAUACAACAGUGCCCGACACAUUCACCCCUCUUGUUUUCAAAAUCAUAAAAUCUUCCACACGUCCAUAAUUAACAUAGACAACUGGUCCGACCACAGUACCUGAUCUAGCAUAUGCAUAGAACGUAGGUAGGACUUCAUCUGCCACGUCUAUGUAGGGGUCACCCUCGUAUGUCUCUUGUUGAAGUUCAAAUUUAGUAGUUGUGCCCGAAGGUGGAUGAGUCAGUGCUAGUGACCUCGAGACAGGAUAAGUCAAUGAUACUCCAUAUGAUCUAAUAUGUGAUCGGAUAUCAUAGGAAGAUAGAGUAGACAGAACAUAGCGUGCGACCUCAGCAUUAGCUUCAGUGCCUGCAACAUGGGGUCUGCGAGUUGGUGAAUAGAGGUGUUGCGAGACUGAAACAUUGUCUGAAAAGUGUUGUAAAAAGCGGGAAUCGGACUUAAUCGGUGAAGUUACGGAACAAGGAUUAAUCGGAGAUUAAUUGAACUAAUCGAGGAUUAAUCGGAUUGAUCAGUGAUUAAUCGGAGAUUUAAUCAGUUCGGCGAGCUACGGAACAAGGAUUAAUCGGUGAUUAAUCGUGAUUAAUCACCGACUUUUAGAACAGAGGUUUUGUGUGUAAAAUAUAAUCACUUGUAUCGCAAUCAUUUCACUAGAUAGGUUAGGUAGUCUCAAAUUCUCAGUGGGCUUUGUUUCCAUUUUUUAUUUUUUUCAAAUAAGGCUGAAAUUCAAACCGAGUUCGGGUUUGAAAAUUAAAUCCAGAUAUUCAAAAGAACAAAAUUUAAGAGGUUGCAACUUGAACUUAUUAUUUUAAAAACU